rnacentral:rRNA from 1 species
GGGUUGUGAGGUUAAGCGACUAAGCGUACACGGUGGAUGCCCUGGCAGUCAGAGGCGAUGAAGGACGUGCUAAUCUGCGAAAAGCGUCGGUAAGGUGAUAUGAACCGUUAUAACCGGCGAUGUCCGAAUGGGGAAACCCAGUGCAAUUCGUUGCACUAUCGUUAACUGAAUACAUAGGUUAACGAGGCGAACCGGGGGAACUGAAACAUCUAAGUACCCCGAGGAAAAGAAAUCAACCGAGAUUCCCCCAGUAGCGGCGAGCGAACGGGGAGCAGCCCAGAGUCUGAAUCAGCUUGUGUGUUAGUGGAACGGUCUGGAAAGUCCGACGGUACAGGGUGAUAGUCCCGUACACCAAAAUGCACAGGUUGUGAACUCGAAGAGUAGGGCGGGACACGUGGUAUCCUGUCUGAAUAUGGGGGGACCAUCCUCCAAGGCUAAAUACUCCUGACUGACCGAUAGUGAACCAGUACCGUGAGGGAAAGGCGAAAAGAACCCCGGCGAGGGGAGUGAAAAAGAACCUGAAACCGUGUACGUACAAGCAGUGGGAGCACCUUCGGGUGUGACUGCGUACCUUUUGUAUAAUGGGUCAGCGACUUAUAUUCUGUAGCAAGGUUAACCGUAUAGGGGAGCCGCAGGGAAACCGAGUCUUAACUGGGCGUUAAGUUGCAGGGUAUAGACCCGAAACCCGGUGAUCUAGCCAUGGGCAGGUUGAAGGUUGGGUAACACUAACUGGAGGACCGAACCGACUAAUGUUGAAAAAUUAGCGGAUGACUUGUGGCUGGGGGUGAAAGGCCAAUCAAACCGGGAGAUAGCUGGUUCUCCCCGAAAGCUAUUUAGGUAGCGCCUCGUGAACUCAUCUUCGGGGGUAGAGCACUGUUUCGGCUAGGGGGUCAUCCCGACUUACCAACCCGAUGCAAACUACGAAUACCGAAGAAUGUUAUCACGGGAGACACACGGCGGGUGCUAACGUCCGUCGUGAAGAGGGAAACAACCCAGACCGCCAGCUAAGGUCCCAAAGUCAUGGUUAAGUGGGAAACGAUGUGGGAAGGCACAGACAGCCAGGAUGUUGGCUUAGAAGCAGCCAUCAUUUAAAGAAAGCGUAAUAGCUCACUGGUCGAGUCGGCCUGCGCGGAAGAUGUAACGGGGCUAAACCAUGCACCGAAGCUGCGGCAGCGACACGAUGUGUUGUUGGGUAGGGGAGCGUUCUGUAAGCCUGCGAAGGUGACCUGUGAGGGUUGCUGGAGGUAUCAGAAGUGCGAAUGCUGACAUAAGUAACGAUAAAGCGGGUGAAAAGCCCGCUCGCCGGAAGACCAAGGGUUCCUGUCCAACGUUAAUCGGGGCAGGGUGAGUCGACCCCUAAGGCGAGGCCGAAAGGCGUAGUCGAUGGGAAACAGGUUAAUAUUCCUGUACUUGGUGUUACUGCGAAGGGGGGACGGAGAAGGCUAUGUUAGCCGGGCGACGGUUGUCCCGGUUUAAGCAUGUAGGCUGGUUGUCCAGGCAAAUCCGGAUAAUCAAGGCUGAGGUGUGAUGACGAGGCACUACGGUGCUGAAGUAACAAAUGCCCUGCUUCCAGGAAAAGCCUCUAAGCAUCAGGUAACAUCAAAUCGUACCCCAAACCGACACAGGUGGUCAGGUAGAGAAUACCAAGGCGCUUGAGAGAACUCGGGUGAAGGAACUAGGCAAAAUGGUGCCGUAACUUCGGGAGAAGGCACGCUGGUGUGUAGGUGAAG